rnacentral:lncRNA from 1 species
UGGUGAUAAGAGGCUGGAUCCAUAGAUCCUAGUAUAUUUAUUAGAGGGCCCUUUCCAGACCCCUGUCAUAGAGGGCUGGUCACUACUCAUCUCUUACUGUAUGUAAGUCACGGCAGCACAAGGUUCAGAUGUGUUCUUGGUGGGGAGCUCUCUUUAGACCUUUGUGGGUACUCGUGAAGACUAAGAUUACUGAGUGGGUAAAACAAUUCUGAUGCUGUGUCUGGAAGAAGGAGGCCAAAGCCACAAUACACACGAGGAGGGAGAGCAACUCUAAGGAACACUGAAAAGGCCACCCAGCCCACUUUAAUUGUUUUCUCCAACAGAGGUCUUGCAUUGAGCAGAGUCCUCCACCACGACUGUGUUCUGCAAUCUCCUGGGACGCCCUAAGGUCUGUCUACACGGGGAGAGCUAACUACUUGAAGUCUGCAAAAGCUCUGAUUAUGUGGUCUGGAGUGCAACCUGGGCUUGGGGAGUUUUAAAAACUGCCGCCUCCCCUGGUGAUUCAGAUAGCAAGCAGUUAAAGUUGAAAACCCCAGGAUCAGAGGUUCACCGACUGAGGAGAGAACAGUGCAGUGACAAUCUGGGGGAAAGCGUGUGACAAUGGAAGUGAUGUAGGUGGCGCAGUUUGACAAACCAGGAAAUCUGUGCUGUUGUAUGAGGAUCUGCUAAUCUUUAACCUCUCCGAGCCUUGUCUUCAGCAUCUGCAGAAUAAGAUGAAGACAACUUACCCUCACGGCGUUGUGAGGAUCAUGUGAGAUUUUUCACUUAUUUGUUUAUUCUACUAGAUGUCUACUGUAUGUCUGCCCUUUUUACAGCCCAAGAUAACACACCUGUGAAGAGGCUAGAUUAAGGUGUCCUUAAGUCCUCCAUGCUUAGCAGCAGGCCGGCAUCCUACUUAGCAUCCAUACAUUUUUUCUGAACAGAACUAAACAUAGUCCACGCCACAUCACAUUCCGCCACUUAAGUGGAUUGGAAUCUUCCAGGAUUCUAACCCAGAUGUGGAUGGUUCCGGACCUCCAGAUGGCUUCCCUGUUGAGAGCACUGAAGGAGGACUCCUCUCCCCAAUUUCCAUCCUUGGAAUUGAACACUUUAAGGCAGAAAAUCCAACACCAAGCAACAAAAGCAGGAGAACUGAAUGAUUCACUUAACCCAAAUUGGGAGGUUAAACUACCUGCUCGUGAGGCUGCAUCCAGCACCUUAAAUGCUCUCACCCAGGAUCCCCAACAUCCUGACAUAACGGGGGCUCCAAAGACAAGUUCAAUGGAGGUUUAGAACAAUAAAGUUACAAUGCUUGUACACCAAAAGGUUGAGAACUAGAGCAUUCUUUCUUUCCUUUGAGCAGCUAAACUCCUACAAAGCCGGGUAUGGGUGCUGAGGCCCUGUGUUAGGGAGACCUGUACGCCAAGAGAUCAUCUUGCUAACAGCUCCUCCGCUCCUGCACUGUGUCUUGUUUCUUUGCUUCUGAACAUGCUGUUCUGCUUUUCGAAAAUGUUCUUCUUGCCAAGGG